UACGUAGGGUGCAAGCGUUAAUCGGAAUUAUUGGGCGUAAAGCGUGCGCAGGCGGCUUUGCAAGACAGAUGUGAAAUCCCCGGGCUCAACCUGGGAACUGCAUUUGUGACUGCAUCGCUCGAGUGUGGCAGAGGGGGAUGGAAUUCCGCGUGUAGCAGUGAAAUGCGUAGAUAUGCGGAGGAACACCGAUGGCGAAGGCAAUCCCCUGGGCCUGCACUGACGCUCAUGCACGAAAGCGUGGGGAGCAAACAGG
rnacentral:rRNA from 1 species